rnacentral:rRNA from 1 species
UACGGAGGGUGCGAGCGUUGUCCGGAAUCACUGGGCGUAAAGGGCGCGUAGGCGGCAUGCCCAAAGCGUGUGGUGAAAGCCCGGGGCUCAACCCCCGGGUCGGCCCGUGCGGGACUGGCGUGCUCGAGCACUGUAGGGGGCGGGUGGAAUUCCGGGGUGUAGCGGUGGAAUGCGUAGAGGAUCCGGAAGAACACCGGUGGCGAAGGCGGCCCCGCUGGGCAGGAAGGCU